AACGGCAAGCCAAGUUCCUUAGCUCUCUUCCGCACACCGUCAAUGGGUACUUGGUGGGCGUCAAACAAUAACAAGAAUUAGAAAGAAAUCACAGCAAGGGUACUCAAAGGUCUUCUCCUGAGGUUAGUUUCCAUUUUAAGACGAGUUUUGAGAGGUAGGUAGGUACUAAACAAAAAUGACUAAACUUCUGCUCGAGCCGUCCGGCCGUUUAUUGUUAACCAUCUGACAGAAAUAUGAACUUUUAGAUAACUGCAGUCAUCUCAACGCUGGGAUUAUGUAAUACCGUGCUGGAAAUGGAUGGCGGCUACUCACAGCUAACCUGCUACAAAAGGCGCGCUCCUGUCCUGCAACACACAUUACGCCGUGAUGAGCGGAAGUAUGACGUCGGUCGGCUGCAUCCGAGUUAGCCCUGCCUGAGCAGUGAGCACUCACUGCGAAAAUAAAAAAAAUCAGGUGAUCGGUCUGAUCGAUUAUUCCCGGGAAAGGAUGUCACGCACAGGUCCUGCGGUGCCCUGGGCUCGGCCUCUCUCCGUCCUCUGCGAAGGUGGGCUCGUUGCUGGAAGAAUCCCCAGCGACAGAUAGAAGAGUGAGUGUGAGAAGCUCAUUCAGCUACCUCAUUGUCAGUUAUUGGCCGUACCUGAGAUCUACGGGGGUUCUCCCUUGGUUCUUGGAGAGCUCUGGUGGUGACGAACCCAGAGGCGCGCGUCGGCGGCCCUUUCACUCACAUCACUGGUGGAGGUGGAUGGAGGGUGGAUCCAGCUCCGAAGCGACCUUCCCCUAGCUCCUAGCUCAGCUGUUGACACUGGACGGCCUCAAAGGUAUCGGCCGGAUUGGCUCUACUCGUCCUCCUUGAUGGCCUUUUUGAGAGACACCGCAACUAGAGGGCCACCCUGGAGUCCAUUUGACGUAGAAAUUUACGGCGAAUCUAACAAAAAUUGUUUUUUGAUCCUACAAACAAUAGGAGCGGAGUUAUACAUUUAAAAAAAAUUAAAAUUGUCAUGUGACAUUACAAGACUUUGGUUUUAGGGGCCCAGUGGGAGCCCUUUGGGUUGGAGGCCCUCGCCAGUCGAUGCCCCUUGGCGAGACACGUCCACCCAUGUGAGGUUUUCCAUUUUUUGAAUUACUGCAAUAUUUGGAAAGUAAAAUUUUUAUGAAAAUUGUUUCACAAUGUGACCCAGAUUUUUCCCGGAUAUAAAAUGCCAAAUUAAACACAAAAUUAUUGAGAUAGGAUAGUUAAAGUUGUAUUAUGUCCUCUUAAUUUGCUCAGAAAAUAUUUUCCUGGUUUCGCGACCUUGGUAAAAAUUUGAUUUUAAAUAAAUUGUCUCUGCUGAAUAAUUCAACUCUUAAUUCAAGGUUUGGCUGAAAAAAAUCUGUUUGAAUUUUCAAAAAAUCUGGAAACCGUAUUACACAAAAUUCUGAAAAUCCUAUAAAGCUUAAAUGUUUCCCAUACACCUGGAAGAAACAAAAAAAUUUUUGGUUUUUAAGUGUCUGAGAAAUAAUAAAAAACUCGGUUCUGUUCUUUAAAACCCUGAAAAAUGUGAUUUUUGUUAAAAAGGUUCAAUUUUAGUGUUGAUUUCAAGCGACUGUUGGCCAAAACUUGAUUGAAAAUAAUUUAUUUUGAUUUUUCUGGGCCAUGGGUUGAGGACUGAGAGACUGAGACCAACCCCGUGCUCCGAAAG